GAUGAACGCUGGCGGCGUGCCUAAUACAUGCAAGUCGAGCGAACAGACGAGGAGCUUGCUCCUCUGACGUUAGCGGCGGACGGGUGAGUAAAACGUGGAUAACCUACCUAUAAGACUGGGAUAACUUUGGGAAACCGGAGCUAAUACCGGAAAAUAUAUUGAACCGCAUGGUUCAAUAGUGAAAGACGGUUUUGCUGUCACUUAUAGAUGGAUCCGCGCCGCAUUAGCUAGUUGGUAAGGUAACGGCUUACCAAGGCGACGAUGCGUAGCCGACCUGAGAGGGUGAUCGGCCACACUGGAACUGAGACACGGUCCAGACUCCUACGGGAGGCAGCAGUAGGGAAUCUUGCGCAAUGGGCGAAAGCCUGACGGAGCAACGCCGCGUGAGUGAUGAAGGUCUUCGGAUCGUAAAGCUCUGUUAUUAGGGAAGAACAAAUGUGUAAGUAACUAUGCACGUCUUGACGGUACCUAAACAGAAAGCCACGGCUAACUACGUG
rnacentral:rRNA from 1 species